UUGUAAGUGUUUAAGGGCACAU
rnacentral:rRNA from 3 species